AGUGGGGGUUUGGCGCUUUUUUAUAAUAAUGAAUAUCAAGUUAAAAUUCUAUAUUCUAGUAAUAGAAUGAUAGAUAUUGAAGCGGUGGCCAAUGGAAAACAAGUUUUUCUCACCUUUGUCUAUGGAGAACCGGUUCAAAAAUUAAGAGAUCAGGUUUGGGAGAGAUUGACCAAGUAUGGUUUGUCGAGAUCGGAACCUUGGUUUAUCAUAGGAGACUUAAAUGAGAUUACAGGGAAUCAUGAAAAAGAUGGGGGUGCUGUGAGAUGUGCGACCUCUUUCAUAUUUUUCAACAAUAUGAUACGAAAUAGUGGAUUAUUAGAAUUUCCUGCCCGUGGAAAUACUAUGUCAUGGCAAGGACGGAGAGGUAAAGGAAAAGGAGCGGUGAUGGUAAGAUGUAGACUGGAUCGAGCUCUGGCAAAUGAGGAGUGGCAUACGCUGUUCCCAUGUUCUUAUACGGAAUAUUUGAGGUUGGUGGGAUCAGACCAUCGACCCGUAGUGGCCUUUCUGGAUGAUAAAAUACAAAGAAGAAAAAGGGGACAAUUUAGGUUCGAUAAGCGGUGGAUUGGUCAAGAGGGUCUUAUGGAUUCAAUUAUGUCAGGAUGGACAGGAAACCAGGGAGGACAAGCUGAGGAUUUUGUUACAAAAAUUAGUAAUUCAUGCUCGAAGGAGCAAAUUCCCCGUUUUAAUAUAUGAAAAUAUUAAGUUGGAAUUGCAGAGGAAUCAGGAGUCAUUGGACCAUAAGUUAUCUUCGGGAGAUAUGACAUCAACAUAGACCGGACUUUCUAUUCUUAUCAGAGACGAAACAGGAUUUUGAUUUUGUACAAAAAUAUCAAUCUCACUUUGGUUAUGAUAGUAUGGUCACUGUGGAUCCUUCUGGGAGGAGUGGGGGUUUGGCGCUUUUUUAUAAUAAUGAAUAUCAAGUUAAAAUUCUAUAUUCUAGUAAUAGAAUGAUAGAUAUUGAAGCGGUGGCCAAUGGAAAACAAGUUUUUCUCACCUUUGUCUAUGGAGAACCGGUUCAAAAAUUAAGAGAUCAGGUUUGGGAGAGAUUGACCAGGUAUGGUUUGUCGAGAUCGGAACCUUGGUUUAUUAUAGGAGACUUAAAUGAGAUUACAGGGAAUCAUGAAAAAGAUGGGGGUGCUGUGAGAUGUGCGACCUCUUUCAUAUCUUUCAACAAUAUGAUACGAAAUAGUGGAUUAUUAGAAUUUCCUGCCCGUGGAAAUACUAUGUCAUGGCAAGGACGGAGAGGUAAAGGAAAAGGAGCGGUGAUGGUAAGAUGUAGACUGGAUCGAGCUCUGGCAAAUGAGGAGUGGCAUACGCUGUUCCCAUGUUCUUAUACGGAAUAUUUGAGGUUGGUGGGAUCAGACCAUCGACCCGUAGUGGCCUUUCUGGAUGAUAAAAUACAAAGAAGAAAAAGGGGACAAUUUAGGUUCGAUAAGCGGUGGAUUGGUCAAGAGGGUCUUAUGGAUUCAAUUAUGUCAGGAUGGACAGGAAACCAGGGAGGACAAGCUGAGGAUUUUGUUACAAAAAUUAGUAAUUCCGGCAUGAGAUAUCUUCAUGGCGGAAAGAUAAUCCACCUUAUGGGAAGGACAAAAUUAAAGAUCUUCAACAGGUGUUAGAAGAA
rnacentral:lncRNA from 1 species